UUGCAGUGGCGAAUCUGUGUUGUUGUUUCCUGUUAGCAAUGGUAGCAGGGAUGCCGGAUCUGAAUGGAAAGGGUGCCUGGUGGUGUGCUCACAAGGGUUCCGAUGGAGAUGGGCUUCAGCAAAGGUGGCGAUGGCUGAAGAAAAUGCAGAGAGCGAGAUUGUGGGCUGCGAAUGGGAUCUCAGAGACGGAAAUGAUGGCGGAUCUGAGUGUUGGUCUAGCAGAGUAGUGUCUGUGACAGGGUUUUGCCGGAUUUGCAGGUGACGGCUGGUGUGGCUGCGGUGGUGAUUUGGCAAGGUGGUGGUGCUUGUGAUGAGAAUGAUGGAGAUGAAUGGUGUGGAUCAAAGGCCCCAAAUCGAGCCACGGGGGUGCUCGAGCUGCAGAGUAUGUUAAACAACAUUAUCUUACGCCACACAUGCAUGAAAGUGGUGGUAUGGAUACAGAGAAUAGCACUUUACCAAGCAUGAUUUUUCUCAAGCAAGGUAGGAGUAGCCGCCACGUGGACCAGUCACUCCACCGUCUCUCAAGUUUGAGGUUGAAGCAGCAAGGUGCACCACCUUCUCCAACAUGUAUUAUGGUCCAAUCCAUGAAUUUUCAGGUCACCCUCAUGCUGAAGUUGUGUUGAUAUGUUCCAUUGAAUUGAACUGCAAUAAUACUACUUUAAUAAGAUAGCCCCAGUCAGCUCUGUUCAUGAUGAGGGACUAGCCCCCAAAUUGCAACUACUAUCGAGUCCAACAUGAAAUGCACAAAAUUGAAAUUUUGAUUGUCAUUGCAGGUUAAAAAAGGCACUAGCCCACUUCAAUCAUUUCCUCAGAUAAUGAAUUGAAUGAAUUAUAAUUCAAUUCAAUCAAGCAUCCAAAACACUUUUGAGUGAAACCAACCUUUCAUAUGGUUGGCAUUAACGCCUGAUCUUGAUAAACAAAGUGCAUGAGAUCAGUGUACAAAACUGCAUGGAACAAAUAUGAUAAGAUAAUGGAAAAAAGAAAAGAACAGAAAGGGCCAAAUGAUACCAAUUCGCUUGCAUGUUUACCGGAAAUUCAAAGUUGUGAUGCAUAUGUUUUCACAGUCCAGUCACUCAACUGGUGGUCACUAAUCACUAUGUUUUUGUCAUUCCUAAAUAUAAUAAAAUCAUCUCUGAUCUGGUCAAUAUACUGUUGAACCAAAGAGCAGAAACAAACUUUAGAUAUCCACAAGGACAUCUUGCCUUAAAGAUGAAAAGGAAGGCAUCAGCAGCUCAUAUUGGUUGAAAUAAUUGCACCCAGCCAACGGAUGCAUUACACGGGUUCCCAACUGAAAAUGGGUGAAAACCUGUGCAGCAUGCCAACACCUGAUUCAGUGCGUGCCCAUGAAGUACCAAACCAAAUCAGACCUCUAACAUGAAUAUCAAGAGUCUUGGAUUACCAAAGCGACCAGAAAUUCACCAUCACCACCUACACUUCCACUUGCGUUCUUUUUACAACGAUUACAGUCAAUGAACCUGCGCCCGGGCUCAAGACAAUUUUUAGCUUCACUGUUCCUGAUCAAAAGUCUGGCAAGGUAUCAGGAUAUUGCAUCUAGGCUCAUAGAUCUCUCCAUUAUCACUUGCAUGCAACUUGCAGAUAAGCUCUGGAAUUAGAACUAAUAGACUAUAUUUGCAUUUUGCAACUUUCAGGUAUCGAAUCUGUUUAUUUGUGGGAGGGUAAGGAUGAGUUGUUGUGGGGAGCUGCUUAGCUGCACAAAGCCACCAAAAACCCAGCUUAUCUGAACUACAUUCAAGCGAAUGACUCAAGAGGUAACAGUGAAGCUGGAAGAGAAGCUAGAGGAUUUGCAUUUCUCAGACAAAACACGUCAUCAUUCCAAACCAUCUUCAUGUCCCUGAAGCUGAGAGAAGUGGAUUGAGUUUCGGAAGCUUUGAUGCUAGUUUUGGGCUUAAUGCAAUCUUCACAAAUGGCCCAGAUACUGGCAAGAGCUCUACACCUUUGUCCGAGUCAUCUUAGGUGAUCAAAGAGUCAGCUAAGGAGCCUUCUUCAAGGUCUGAAACCUUUUCCCGCCUGUUAUCACUUUUCCUAUCAUGUGUAGAAGAGUAGUUUUGAGCUCUUUUGGCUCAUCGUAUUAGAAGGGAUGUUUGUUCAUCUUACAUGGACAGUUGCAAAUGCAUCCCUUAUUUGCAUAUUUCAGUGAUAAAUGAUCUUUAACUUCUGUUGACUUUCGAGAAGUGGUAUUCUGAAAGACAAAACGUCCUGAGAAUUGUAGGUUGAUCAUGGGUUUUGAAAGACCUGCUCAAUGUCAAUGUAGAUGUAUCUGUAUAAUAUAGGUCUUGCUGCAAUUCCAAUGCAAAGUAUGACUAUUUUCCUCUGUUUCCCAAGUACAACAGU